CAACCCUCAAGCCUGGCUUGGUGUUGGGGCGCUGCUUCUCACAGGAGCAGGCCCUGAAAUUCAGUGGCGAGCUCGCCAGGACUCCGAGCGCAGUAGUAUAUCUCGUUCUGGAAGGCCUGGCGGUGCCCUGCCGUUAAACCCCAACUUUUGAAA
rnacentral:misc_RNA from 1 species